CCGUGAUUAGAUUUCCCGUCCACGAAUCUGUCCAGUCAAUAUAGCAUGCUUUUGAUUUGCCAGCUCUUUCUCUAAAUUGCCCAUCUUGUCCUUGCAAGGAAAUCGACACUGGUUUUGUCUGGGGCUGAUGAUACUGGAAGUGUGUAUAGCUCUCAAUUACCCCCACAAAGUGCACCAGGUAACCCAAAAAAACUGCAAAUAUAGCGAACGCCACUUGCCACAUUGCAGAAUGUCAGAUCGCUUAUCGCAAUGCCCAUGUUGCCUUGAUGCUUCAGGUCUUCCAGGAACCCCAGCGUGCACAGUUUAAGCGUUGUUCCAUCAGAAGGCAGGCAAAACAAUAUAUAAAACAAACGCUCCGCAGCAGCAACUCAAGUGACAGCGUUCAACAGUCCGCCACAGAAGGGCAGCUGCCCCCGUGGCACCUUGGCUUCCAAUGUAACGAGAGAUACCUCAGAUGGGGCGACAAUGCGCAGACUCAGCUUCUAAAAAUAUAUGCAGCGAGAGAGCUGGGCAAGGUCUGUCUUCUUUGCAUGUUCCUGCGAUAUCUGCCCUGGAGCA
rnacentral:lncRNA from 1 species